UACGAACUGUGCGAACGUUAUUCGGAAUCACUGGGCUUACAGGGUGCGUAGGCGGCUAUUCAGGUCAGGUGUGAAAGCCCCCGGCUCAACCGGGGAACUGCGCUUGAAACCGAGUGGCUCGAGUCAGCUAGAGGUACACGGAACUUCCAGUGGAGCGGUGAAAUGUGUUGAUAUUGGAAGGAACACCGGAGGCGAAAGCGGUGUACUGGGGCUGGUCUGACGCUGAGGCACGGAAAGCCAGGGGAGCGAACGGGAGUUAG
rnacentral:rRNA from 1 species